rnacentral:misc_RNA from 1 species
AAAUGGAGUGCUCACUGUGACUGUUCCCAAGGAGGAAGAGAAGAAGCCUGAUGUCAAAUCCAUUAAGAUUUCUGGCUAAGGAAACAAAUGCAAAUCUGCUACUAAAAUGGUUGCUUGGGAUCAAAAGUUCUGAAUAUGAAAUAAAAUUUUAAGCAACAAUAUGUCUUUUACUGAGUAAUCAGUGAUAUUAAUCUUUAUAUUAGCAAAAUGAUUACAUUCUUAAUUAUCGUAUAAAUUCUCUUUUAAAAAAAUUUUAAAAAAUUCAAUCAGAUCAGAUAGAUUCAAAAUGCAUAUUAUUAGUCAAGAAACAAAUCAAAUCAUUUUUUUUCUGCCUUAAAUUAAAUCAUCUAAUAAUUUUUUAACGGUCCUGCAUUAGCCACCUCUCUUACAACUUUACCCUUCUUCUUUCCCUAAUAUUACCCCUCCUAACUACCUAAAUCGCUACCAGUUUUGCGCUAUCACAGGGGUAAAAUGUUAACGGAUUCACCAAACAACAACCCAGCUGCCUGUCAGCUCCGCGCCCUCAGCCCCAUAUCCAGACAAAACUCGCCGGAUUCUCCGCUUAUUCUAAUUUCUCUACCCAAUUCAAAAUCUGAAAACCUACCAUAAUAUGAAAUAAAACCAUUAUAAAUUCAGUCAAUUUUCACUUCACUCUCCACUUCAUAGAAAUUUUGAAUUCGAAAUUCGAUUUAGGUUUUAGGGAUUCGUUUCAGGAAAAAAAAAGGCUACCAUGAAGGCUUCGUUAAAGUUCCGUGAAGAUCAGAAGCCACUCUUUCGAGCCAAGGUUCCUUUGAGCAUCUUAGGCUUGCCUUUUCAAUCAGGGAUUGUCGCCGGCGAGUCCAAGGAGCUCACUCUCAAUCUCGCUACCUUCUUCGAAUCUGGACCCUCCAUCAAGGUCGCUUACCGUCCCAAUGAUGGCUGGAACCCUUUUUCUCUUAUCUUCAAGACUGGAAUGGGACCCUUUGGUUCGCCCGUGGCCAGCUCCAUGCUCAUGAGUGCGGAGUUCAAUUUGCUUGGGAGGGGGAAUCCUAGUUUUAUGCUUCAUUUCAAGCCCAGGUUUGGGGAUUUUUCUAUUAAGAAAUCGCAGUCGUCUUCGGUCUUUGAGAAGGGCGGGAAUAUGUUUGGGUCUUUGCCCAAUUGCAAUGAUGAUGGAUCGAUUGAGGUGGUGGAGUCUCCGGUGAUAAACGGAGGCGGCGUAGGGGUGGCGAACGGAAUUUCGGGAAAGAAAAUUUCGGUUUUGCCGCCGCCUACUGCCAGGGCGAUCGCAAGCGCAUUCUCUGGCGUGGAAGUGACAGCAAGUACAAAGCUUCCUGUGAGGAGCAGCGCGGUGGUCAAUUUCAGAUGGGGAGUUAGGGUUCCUGCGGAAUUUAAGAAUGGUACUGUUGGUGAUUCAACAGCUGGGAUCAAUCUUAGAAAGAUUCCGUUUUUGGUGAUGAAUAAGAUAGGGAUUGAGCAUAUUGAUGGUGAUGAUUCGAAAUCAAAAGGGACGGCAUCUGCCCCAAUGAAGUUGAGCUCGGAAUUGACAAAUACUGAUAUGGCGGAGGCUUGUUUGACGGUGAAGCGGCAACUGGAGGUGUUGCAAGCUGAGAAUGGGCUAUUGAAGAAAGCUGUGGAAGAUCUCAGGCAGGAAAUUGCUUCAGGUAAGGUAAGUUUGCCGGAUUUCAAUUCUGGCAAAUACAGAGAAAAUGAGAGGAACGGAAUGAAAAAUGUGAAUAGCAGUAGAAUUGAAAGGAGAAGCAAUGAGAAGAAAUCAAUGGAGGGGGAUGUGCAUGAGGAGUUGAAGAAGUCAUUGAAGGGAACUGUUGGUGUUGGUGCUUGAAUUUGUAGAAAUCUCUGUAGGGUAUAUACAUGUAAAAGCUGCUAAGUGUGUUUAUCUAGACUUAUUAGCAGGUUUGUUUUGUUCAAUUCUAUGCCAAAUUUUGUAAGGAUUGUUUAGGGUUUUAUAAAAUGUGUUCUAUAUUGGUUGCUUGGUUGAUCCUGUGGAAAAAUGGAAUGCAUGUUUUUGCAUUAUUUAUAUGCAGAAGCUAAUUUGGAUUGAACAUUUUGGAUCAUAGCAAGCAGGACACUUUAACAUAUGAAGGAAUUUGAAAUAUAGUUUGAUAGUCAUAACGAAA